UAGGGAAUCUUCGGCAAUGGGGGGAACCCUGACCGAGCAACGCCGCGUGAGUGAAGAAGGUUUUCGGAUCGUAAAGCUCUGUUGUUAAGGAAGAACGAGUGUGAGAAUGGAAAGUUCAUGCUUUGACGGUACUUAACCAGAAAGGGACGGCUAACUACGUGCCAGCAGCCGCGGUAAUACGUAGGUCCCGAGCGUUGUCCGGAUUUAUUGGGCGUAAAGCGAGCGCAGGCGGUUAGAAAAGUCUGAAGUGAAAGGCAGUGGCUCAACCAUUGUAGGCUUUGGAAACUGUUUAACUUGAGUGCAGAAGGGGAGAGUGGAAUUCCAUGUGUAGCGGUGAAAUGCGUAGAUAUAUGGAGGAACACCGGUGGCGAAAGCGGCUCUCUGGUCUGUAACUGACGCUGAGGCUCGAAAGCGUGGGGAGCGAACAGG
rnacentral:rRNA from 2 species